rnacentral:rRNA from 1 species
CAGUAGCCGCGGGCAUACGUAGGGUGCAAGCGUUGUCCGGAAUUAUUGGGCGUAAAGAGCUCGUAGGCGGUUUGUCGCGUCUGCUGUGAAAUCCCGAGGCUCAACCUCGGGCUUGCAGUGGGUACGGGCAGACUAGAGUGCGGUAGGGGAGAUUGGAAUUCCUGGUGUAGCGGUGGAAUGCGCAGAUAUCAGGAGGAACACCGAUGGCGAAGGCAGAUCUCUGGGCCGUAACUGACGCUGAGGAGCGAAAGCGUGGGGAGCGAACAGGAUUAGAUACCCCUGUAGUCCCUGUCUCUUAUAA